AGCCAAUAAUGAAAUCCUAAAUCAUUCGUUUACUAUUCUAGGGUCCAUUUGUUGCCAAUAAAACCCUUACUUUAGUCAAGAUUAACCAAAAAGGAGAUACUAUGGAUUAGCCCCGGCGCCGCCACCAAACCGCCCCCACGACUUACCAGCUGCAGAACAGUGUUGACCACCUCCCGGUUGGACACCUGUCCCACUUCAAUCAGUCCGAUUAAAACGGCGAACUUGAGACUAUCGUUCAUUGCCAUUCGCACCACCUCUUCGGGGUGCUUGAUGUCACUCAGGGGCGGUUUCGUCAAAUCCGCCAUGGCGUUUGCUCAAUCCCGACCCGCACACAACACACUUUUAUCACCAAGGGGAACAACACCAAACACGAUUUUUCACCAUCACAUUGCUACACGAAACUACUUCUGCCAUGUUGUAUAUGACAGGCCGGUUGUCGCAAAAUGGGGUUUUUACGUUCGGAGGGUUGCAAGACGGCGGCUCAGCUGACGGCUAACCGCCGGAGCCGAUCACCACCCCACGCUCGCCCGUGCCCACGAAAUACAAAUAAACCAUUCACCCGCAUGACGUAUUCAAGGCAAAACGCAAUAAUAAUUAACUAAUGGAAAGUUUUGCAGCGUUUUGAAUUAACUCAUAGUUAAUACCAGUACAUGAUCACUCAAAAGCCACGCUUGCGCGCCAAAUUCCUUUUACUUCUUGGGCAAAAAUGAAAAAAAAAAACGCAAAACUGAAGUCAUCACAUUUAUUUGAUAAACCACGAUUACAUCAUUAUUGUCCUACCCUAGCCUACAAUAAAUUACAAUUAGUUCUUGUUGGUUUUCUGCAGAAUGAUUUUGUUUUUCUCAAUGGUGACCUUGGCCUGUGGGGGCACCGAUUGCAGCUGUCUCGGAACGGUCUCCUGGCGGUAUCGCGUCCACUUCGCUAUGAACCUAUUCUUGUCCACUUGUUUACUGGCGCCUGCCACUUGAACCGUCACUGCGGAAUGUCUCGACCCCAAGACCCGACUUAUCCUCUCAUUAUCAGCCCCAUCUCCCGUCAGGUUCCUCAAGACCAAGUACAACUUGUCUUCGUGUUGUUGCUGGAGCGAGGCUAUCCUCCGUUCAGCGUCAGACCUAACCAGUUGUAAGUUAUGACUGAGUUUUUGCACACGAUAUGCGAGAUUUUCGUGUUGGUUUUCAAUAUCCAAAAUCUCCAAAUCGAGCUUUUUGCUGCUGCUCCUCAAAUCGAUAAUCUUCUCGAAAUAUCUAUGAAGGAGGAUCCUCAUUUCGUUCUCACUCAGUUUGAGGAACCGCUCCAUCAGCAUCCGAUCGCCAUGAUCCUCAAUCUCUUUGACUGGCAGGUGCCCACACAAAAUCGAGUUUUUGUAUUCUAUGAUCAAGUCUAUUGCCUCAAUAGCCUCCUCGUACUGCAGCAACUUGCGUUCGUCGGAGUCGUUCAGGAAUUUUUUAUUCUGGGAUUUGAGCGUGAUUUUGCACCGCAAUUCUAAUAAAUAGUCGCGGGUUUUGCGCAAGUUGCGAAUUUCGUGUCUCAGACUUUCAAGUUCUUCGCUAUUUAGCGAAACGUUUGGUUUAAUUAAAGCAACGACUUUAACAUCGGGGGUUUUCGGCACGCUCUCGCAACUCGCUUUCGACUUAGAGCGCUCCUCCUUCAGCUGUUUCUCGUAGAUUUGUUUAUACUUUUCUUUCUCUUGUUUGUACUUUUUCAACUUCUCCCGAUCUGUAUGUAGACUACUUUCUAAUUCUAGCAAUUUGUUCCCGUCUUCGGUCAGGUUUUUCAACGAUUCGGUGUCUCGCAGUCGCUCCUCAAGGGCCACAACUUCGCUCUUGUAUUUCCCUUCCAAGUGGUGAUUUUUUUGUAAUUUCGCUUGCAAGAACUUGACCUCGGCGUUUUUAUACUCCUUGCGUAACAACUGGCAUUUUUGUUCGAUUUUAUGGUGAGCACUCGAUUUUGUGUCUUUGUGCUUCAGGAGCUUUUCCAUGAGGUUUUCCUUGACCCGAAUUGUUUUUUCCAAAUCAGAGAUCUUUUUUUGAUUCAAUUCUAACGCAGUGGCGAUUUGUUUAAGGAUUUUCUUCUUGUUAUCGUACGACGUAACUGCGAUUUUUUGACUCUCGACAUCGUCAUUAAUACGUAACGUAUUGAGGGACAAGCAAGGGUUUAGUUCUUCAGCCGAGUGGAUACUCCCUCUGCGCCCCCGUGCCCCCUUCAUAUGAUACUCAUUAUUCGAGCUAUUCAUACUUUCUUUGGUACAAGAAUUCGUAACGUUUGCACAAUUAGCCUCAGAGACUAAUUUAUCGGUGUUUGAGCGAAAAGUCUCCAUCAAACCUUGAACCCUAUCAAGGAGACUCUCCUUCUCCUCCUCCUCAAUCGCCUCGCUCUCACUACUAUCACUCUCAAUUUCCUCCUCAAUCCGCUCGAGUGAUCUAUGAGGCUCUGAAUUUUCACUCAAACAGUCUUCGCAUUCUUGUUUGAGCAUCAACCACUGUGAUAUUUGUUCUUGUUCGCUUUUUGGUAACAAGUCGUUCGCUACCAAUCGUUGGAACAACUCUUCAGCGUUCGAGACAAGUUUCAGGAGUUGAUUGGCGGCGAACUGUAGGCCGAAAACAUCACAAUUCUCUUGUGUUGACUCAAACGUAGCGUAUGAGUUAACAGUGACGAAAUUUUUGAUCAUUUGAGCCCUCAAACCCAACUGAAGUGUAUACAAAGUCUCGGUGAAGUCUUGAGCAAGGGGGGACACGCAACAGAUCAGAAGUGUCUUUGCGCGCCCCCCGAACGAGUCUUUCAGUAGUGUCGUCAAAACGGAUUGAGUGUACGGCACAAAACUGCAGUUAAAAUCAGACAGCGACAUAAUACACCUCUGUAAAGUCUGUAUCCCUAAAUCAGUGGGAAUCGUUUGCAUCAUCCCGUUGCUGUCAUAAACUAGAACUUUCUCAGUCCCUGCCAAAUCGGCAAAACUCGCAGUUGAGACGCGAUGUUGCACACUUGUCUCCACCACCCACUGCUGCUCCAAAGUGAGUGUGAACAACGUGUGGGCGCACUUGGGGGCUAUAUUCGACAUUCCGACUUGAAUCAACUGAAACACGUCACUGAUAUUCCGGCACUCGAUGCUCCCAACGCCUAGCAAAUCCUGGACGUUUUCGCCACAAAUCUGCGACCAAGCGAUAUGCACGCACCAAUUCCUGUCUCUGUAUUGUUUCAUUUUGGCGAAAACUUCGCGAAUAAACCGCGGGAUAAUCCCGUGAUCAGCCUCGCUAGCCGCACAGUGGAAACCUGGGCCUAGGAGCGUGUAGGACUUUCCAGUCCCGGACUGGCCCAGCGUGACCACCGAAACAUCGCACCCUUCCACCAAAUAAUUCACCAAAGGGGCUGCCGUGGUUGUGAACACCGUGUUUUGGCAACAGUCGGCUGGAAGGGCGUAAUUGACGGGGUAGUUUUGCGAAUUCGCGAGUUGGAUGGUGUUGUUGACGGGGUUGGAGUGCACGCAAACCAUGUCGUUGGGGGAGUAGCCCGACGUAUGGAUGCGGACCGCCGUUUCUAUGUGCAUCUCCAUCCUGGGAGAAUUCAACCCAUUGUAUAACCUAAAAUUUACAAUUGAGUUGGGGGCUGGAUAGUGGUGGGAAUUACAUAAUGGGGGCGAAGUACCUGGCGGUUGCGGCGGUUUGGGUUAAUUUAUUAAAAAUCAAUGGAUUUUAAAUGCAUUUUACAGCUGCCUCAAACAACACAACUGGGGAGUUUGGGUUUAGCACUAGGAGGGAACAAAAUGGAGGAUUUAAAUAAAAGCGGCAAACGAGUUAAUUAAUCAUUUUUAUUAGACUAUUUAUGAAUUAACAUUUUUAUUUCUUCUUCAAAGGCCCCCCUAAGUCGUCCAGUUCCUGUUUCAAUUGUUUCAACUCCGUGUCAGGCACGUAUCUAAUCUCCUCGUCCCACUCUUCAUGAGGCCGCACGUGGACGGUGAUCCCCGAUGGGGUACUAGCCUCCAGUGCACGUAAAAUAACAGGCAACUGCAAAUACGUGCCAGUUUCAAGCAUUUCACUUUGAAAAAUUAAAUACCUGAGUUGAUAAAACAUCAGUAAUUUGUACUGUCCGAUCAUAGUGCUUCAAAUUGUACUGUGUGUUGAUAAUUUCACUCUUCGGUUUAUAGGUCGUGACUUGAAUGUCUUGAUGGGGGGUUGCCCAAGCUUCCUCCACACUUAUAUCCAUACUUCGCAAUAAUUUAUGAAUAAACUUUUGAUAAUUUUCCAAUAUGGCAUAAUCGUAGCCACGAAUUUGAAUAUUUAAAGUGUCGUACAUUGGAAGAUUCGAUUUCAUGGCCUAAAAAAUGUUUUUUGGGUAACUUUAAGAGGUUAUAUUUGGUUACCUCGAGAUAAUCGGGCUCGUAGAGGUUGUUCCCGAAUGAUUUGGGCGUCUGGUGCAAGAAACGGCAUUGAAGAGCCCUACGUGUGACCCUCAAUAAAUUAUUCAUAGUAUAAACUGGAGAACUUAAAUUCUUUAGCGGUUACCUCCAACAAAUUUGAGGUUAUGUGGUCCACUUUUUUUUGAUUUUGAUUAUAAAUAAAGAUAAAAAAACAACAAAACCUUUAUUUAAAUUUUUCUGUUACAAGAUGUAAAUGUAAACGUUACAAAUGGUCGCUAUCUGGAGACUAUGGAAUGUGAUUUGCGUAAUUGCCGAUUAUUAAACAGAAAAAUUAUUCCUUUACUUUGAAGAUCUUUUGUACGUUACAUAAAUAUUCCCUCCUGAUCGCAUAUUGGUAAUAAAAAUAGAGUUUUCUACUAAAGUAAACAUACAAAAUC